rnacentral:rRNA from 1 species
UAUGGAGGGUGCAAGCGUUAUUCGGAAUUACUGGGCGUAAAGCGUGCGCAGGCGGUUUGUUAAGUCUGUUGUGAAAUCCCCGAGCUCAACUUGGGAAUUGCAAUGGAUACUGGCAGGCUCGAGUAUGGUAGAGGAAGGUGGAAUUCCCGGUGUAGAGGUGAAAUUCGUAGAUAUUGGGAAGAACACCGGUGGCGAAGGCGACUACCUGGCCUGUUCUUGACGCUGAGGCGCGAAAGCUAGGGGAGCAAACGGG